AGAAGGAGACUCCUCCGUUCUACGGAUGCGACAGAUGCAUACCUCAAGUCUCUGGUUGUACGCGAACCUCCAAGGCUGACAAAACAGAAUGAGGGUACCUGUAUCUGCACAACAAAAGUGUGCAGAAGAGUAGAAUGAGCGCACCACAGCGGUGCCCAAUAAGUAUCAAGACAAACCGAGAUGGAGUAGUAACGAGGGACAGUCAAGACAUCUGCCGGUCCAUAAACAGUACAAUCAUAGGGAUAAUACAAAUGAUAUAAAAUUAUAUAAAGACAGCAUGAAUGACUAAAAGAGCUACAAUCAUAAUAAAACUAAACGGACAAUAAGUAACAACGAGAAAUACACAAAUGAUGAUAAUAAAAGGACGGUAGACAUUACAGUCCAAAUCAUGAAGUCACAGCACAACAAGGACAGACAAGUUACUAACUCAUUAUUCUGCACUGCUCUUACAUAAGGUAUUCCAACUUUUGCCACAAUUCCACCACAACUCUCAUACCAGCCACAACCCAUAAAAACCCAAUAUCCGAGGUAUAACACUUGGCAUCUUGUGCCCCAUCAAUAGCACAGUCAUGUUGACAACUGACUAGUCAACUAGAGUCACUCUCACAUAUAAAAUGGGUAAACGAGGGCACAUCCCCAACCCUAGCCAAAUCAAGAUAGAUUCAUACCUAAUAGGAGGGUCCAACUACGUGUAUGCUUGUCCAAGUGUAUCUAACAGGAAUCCUACCAACCAGUAAAUAUAAGAAAUGGAAUGACUAGCACCCGAUUUAUUCACACUCGGGUAGAAUCAAUGAAAAUAUCAGUUCAUGACACAAUGAGUUUAACGGGGAUCUUCUAGGAUUUCGUCAUGUAGUCUCAAACAUAAACAUGUGCUAGGGAUCUCUUGGUAUCCUCAAUAGAUGUUCUGGGGAUCUCUUGGUAUCCCGAGGAUCUACUGAUAUCCUUAAUAUAUAUUCUAGUGAUCACUUGGUGUGCCGAGGAUCCCUUGGUAUCCUCAAUAGAUGUACUAGGGGUCUCUUGGUAUCCUGAGGAUCUCUUGGUAUCCUCACUAUAUAUGCUAGGGAUCUCUUGGUAUCCCGAGGAUCUCUUGGUAUCCCCAAUAGAUGCACUGGGGAUCUCUUUGUAUCCCGAGGAUCUCUUGGUAUCCUCAAUAUAUAUCCUAGGGAUCUCUUGGUAUCUUGAGGAUCUCUUGGUAUCUUCAAUAGAUGUAUUGGAACCUCUUAGUAACCCGAGGAUCUCUUGGUAUCUUCAAUAUAUAUGCUAGGGAUCUCUUGGUAUCCCGAGGAUCUCUUGGUAUCCUCAAUAGAUGUACUGGGGAUAUCUUGGUAUCCCGAGGAUCUCUUGGUAUCCUCAAUAUAUACGUUGGGGAUUUCCUGGUAUCCCGCAAUACAAAAUAAUCAACAUAGAUGUACAGUCCAAACAAUAGAAUAGUAAAUAUCCCAGUGAAGGAGUCGACAAUGGAAGACAAUAACAUCCCGGCAAGGGAGUCAAUAGUAGAAAAUAAUAACAUCCCGUCAAGGGAAUCAACAAGAGCUAGUAAGGUCACGGAAACACCAAGAAAAACAAAAUAAUCUUAACGAUAAAACAAGACACAAUAAGCACAUAAUAGCUACACCGAUACUAUAACAAUUGGACAUGUAAUAUAUUUGUACGAACAUAUGAACUUACAAUCAAGGUGCACCCAAUAGUAAGGAAGUUAACAUGAAUCAAAAAUUAAAAAUUUAAGGAAGUAUCAACUAAUUAUAUGAUAUCCAUCCUUUUUUCAAAUAAUACCGAUUAAUUACCUAAGAUAUAACAUUUAUGAUUUCCAAUUAAAGACGAGUAGUUAGAAUGGAUAAUAUGACUAUAGAAAGGGUGAUUAUCUUCAAUUAAACACGUAAGAAGUCAAUUAAACAACAAGAAUAAAUCAAGAAGAGCAAACAAUACCAAGUAAGAUAUGUAGAGGGGAAACUAAUAACAUGGAACUCAAUUGUAUCAAUAUCUUCUUCAAACUCAAUGAUUUCAAGAGUCUAAGGGUCUAAAAAGGGACAAUUUACCACAAAUAAAUUCGAUCACGCACUCGUCACCUCGCGUACACAGAAUGCAAUCAACAGAGAAGACUCAAAUCCUAAGGGAAAGUCCCUCCACACAAGGUUAGGCAAGACACUUACCUCAAACCGGCUAAAAUCAACUAGCAACCGCGUUCUUGCCAUGAGUUCUUGACUCCAAAUGGCCCAAAUCUAUUCAAUGAAAUCAUACAUUACAAUUAACAUCUCAAGCAACUAAUUCUAUAAUUUAAUUCAAAGCUAAAGAGCGAAAUCAGGUAAAAUAACCAAAAUACCCCUUUGUCCAAUGUCUCGGAACCGGAUGAAUUUAACAUUUUUAGAACCCUCGUAUUUUCAUGAGUCUAACUAUAUAGAAAUCUCUCAAAUCAGAGGUCAAUCACUCCCUCAAAACCCAAUAAUUCGGUCUAUGAAGUUCUACCCAUUUUUCAUUCAAAACUGAGAUUAAAGGAUGAAAUUAAGAGGAGAUUCAUGGGAGUUGGUCUAAAUCGAAUGAAAAUCACUUACCCAAGUUGCCCAGGUGGAUAUCCCUUCAAAAAUUACCAAGAACCGAGCUCCAUAAGUCAAAUAUGCGAAAUAAUGGUGAAACCCUCGAAAUUGGGAUUUAAAUCUGUACGCCAGUUAUUUGUUCUAUGUGAUCAAAGAGUAUGGGUUACGAUCACAUAGAGGAGCUUGAGAGGGCCCGGACUUUGUGCACUGUGUUCGCGUAAAAAAGGGAUGCGAACGUGGAGGGUUGAGAUGAUGGCGUAUGUGAUCACAGAGCGUACAAUGCGAAUGCAUUGAAGGAAAUAUGGGGGGACCAGUAAUUGGUCUAUACAAACACGGAAUGCAUAAUGCGAAUGCGAAGAAGGCCAAGAUAAGCCUAUGCGAUCGUGGAGGCCUGAUCGCGAUCGCAUAGAAGGUGUAACAGAAGCAGCAACAACAAUCCAAAAGCAAGGGGAAAUGACAUGUAGCCCAUGCAGAACACACCCGAGGCUCCUGGGACCUCGUCUAGUCACACACACAAGUCAUGUAACCUAACACGGACUCGCUCAAAGUUCCAAAUCAAAUAAAACAACAUUGAAAUGAUGAAUCGAACCAAAAAUCAAGCUAAUGAACUUUCGAAUCUUCAAAUAACGAAUCCCAUGCCGAAACCUAUCAAUUUAACUCGGAAUGAUGACAAAUUUUGCAGACAAGUUGAACAUGACAUAAUGGAUCUGUUCCAACUCUCGGAAUAACAUACUGACCCCGAUUUCCCAAAAGUCAAAUGUGGGUCAAACCUUUUCAUUUUCCAACUUCAUCUUUCGUUGAAAUGCCUCAAUAUACUCUACAGACCUCCAAAUCUGAAUCCGGAUGAUCACCUAAGUUCAAAAUCACCAUACGAAGCUGUUGAGAUCAUCUCGUUUACCCAAAAGUUCAGUUCCGGUUAAAUUUCUACCGUUCUAACUUCCAAAAAGGUUUCUUUACUAAAAUUGACUCUAAACCAUCCGAAAACCGAAUUCCACCAUGCACGCAAGUUGAUACUCAUGAUCUGAAGCUGCUCCCGACUUUAUACCGUUGAACGAAGUUUAAUUUCUCAAAACAACCGGUCGAAUCGUUACAUUCAUGAUAUGAGAAAAUUUUCAUUGUUGAAAUCAUGGGAGAGCUUAUCUGUCAUGGCAUAAUAUAUUAAUACAUACCAUAAAAUAAAAAAUAAUAAUUUCAUGUAUAUAUAUAUAUAUAUAUUAAAGGAAAAUAUUAUAUGUUACUACUAAUAAUUACUUAAAUGAUUAAAGAGAGGGGAAGAAACUAGUUCUGAGUUUAACGUCGCCGGCUCGACUUUUUUUAAAAAUUAGGCAAAAAGGAUUGUUAAAGCAUGUUUGUCGAAGAGUCUACUGAUAUAAGGCUUCAAACGAUGACCGUUUACUUUGAAUUUGCUCCCCCAUCUACAUGUUGUACUUCAAUUGCACCAUAGGGGGUCACUCAUGUUACUGUAUAUGGUCCUGUCCAGCGUGACUUAAACUUUUUUUGAAAAUAAUCUCAAUCGACUAUUAUACAACAGAACAUGAUCUCCAACUUUAAAAUCUUUAUGGCAGAUGAGCCUGUCAUGCCCUUUUUUAUCUUUUCCUUGUACAAUUUAACACUUUUAUAUGCUGUAAGCUUGAACUCUUCCAACUCAUCAAGCUGCAAUAGACGAUUUUACCUGCAUCUAGCAAGCUUAGAUUCAACAAUUUUAUAGCCCAAUAUGCUUUAUGUCCUAAUUCUACAGGUAAAUGACAAGUUUUUCCAAAACACUAGUCUAUGAGGAGAUGUACCUAUGAGAGUUUUGAAAGCAGUUAUGUAUGCCCAUAAAGCGUCAUCUAACCUUAGAGCCCCAUAAUUUUGCAUUUUUUGGCGAGGCUCAUCUCAUUUUUAUUAUUUAAAAGGAUAAACCUUAGGCAACUACAUAUUUCUACUUUGCGAGGGCCAUAAAAAAUUCAACCAAUGACACACUUCGAUUUCUAAAGAGUUUUAUUAAUAAAAUCAAGUAUAACGGCAAUGAGCGCAUUUAAAAACGACAAUUAGAUACACUUACUAAAUAGCUUAUAUCCGCCACCCCAUACAAUUAUCACGUGCCACCUAAUUUUGACUAACCAAACCCCAAAAAUAUCAUAGAAAAUAUUUUCUAAACUAAAAUAUGCAUACAUUUUCCCACAUAGCUAACUCACAAGAUUUGGACAAAGGGAACCAUGGAGGAUGAUUAUACUAAUUCAAAUUAAGUGAAGCUUUUGACAGAUAAUUAAGUAAAGCCCCCAAUCAAUAAUAAUAAAUUUGCAUCAUAGUUUACUUAAUACAACGGCAAUCAUGCGUUUCCAGCAAAUCCGAGCCCCAAAACGUUAACACACAAUUUGAGUAGUAGGCUAUUUCCAAAUCAGUUCUCCAAUGUAUACAAUGUUAACACUGGAAAGUCAAAUAAUUAGAGCAAUUGUAAUAUGCAAGCUAAACACAAAAUUAGUCAUUGCUCUGAGAACAAAACCCGAACAAAAAUGCAACUUAACAAAAUCUCAAUAUUUAUCAACACCUCAACUGACGGACGAAUUGAUCUUAAAUGAAUGGAUAAGCAGCGACAAAAAUGUUAAACAAUAACACAAGAAAUGAUUGAAUCAUGUUUAUCUAUGUCGAGCAAAUGUACAGAGCAUAAAAAUGAUUUCAAAGAAAUUAUUGCAACGAGAAAAGGAACGGACCUCGAAACAAAGUCAUUUUCGAAUCUGAAAAUACUUAACACUGGAAACCUUAGGCAGAGGCAAACUCGACGGACCUUAGACAACGACCUCCGGCAAACUCGAGCGGCGAAUCCAACAAACAGAACCUCGAUGGCAGCCACGAACACCCGUAUUCUCGUGUUUUCAAAUUCCGUCGAGCCAGUAUUGAAUAUUUCUUUACCCAGGAUAUGCGUGCGUGUGUGUGUGCAUUGGGUUGCAUCAAUGGCUGACGAGAUGAAGCAGCAGUAGCUGGUGGGUCUGCUGACCAGAAAACUGCUGCUGGUGCGUUUGUUUCUACCGAAUUUCCGGCGAGCUCGCUGGUGAGAUGGUUAUCGUGAAGGAGUCAUUUGUUAAGGGAGAUGGGGUGCUGAGUUUGACAUGAAGAAAGGCGAGGUAGUUGGUGGUUUGUUCAGGAGAUGGCUGCUACGGCUGGUUGACGACGCAGCAUUCGGUUCGGUGAAGAAGAUGAAGCACGACGAAGGCUGGUCGUGGGGGACAAUUUUCGGUUGCUGAUGGGCGGGGGUUAUGGUGAUGCUAUGGUUUUUCCAUGUUAGUUCUUUAAGGUUUUUUAGUUGGAGAAGAUGAAGUCAUCUUCAUUGUAUCUAAGGUCUAAGGUGUAAGGGUCUGUCCAAGCUCUCCGGGCCUCUUACGGCUGAUGCUUAAGGUUAGUUUUAUAGGUAGAGUAUUAGGGUAGGUUAGUUUUAGGGUUUUAGGGUAUUGGCCUUGGGUUAUCAGAAUUUUUGGCCUAAAAAUAGGUCAUUUGAACCCAAAUAUUAUUCUUUCCCCAAUAAAUACGACCUUAUUUAACUAAUUUUACGUAAGCAAAAUAACUAUAAAAAUAGGACUAACAAUUAAAACAAAACUAUUUUUGUUAUUUUUUCAAGAUAAAAAUGACUACAAAACAUUAACGAAACUAUUUUUUGUAAUUUUCGUUUUUAUAUAGAGAUAAAAAUAUAAAGUAUUAUUUUUGGUAUUUUUUCAAGAUUAAAAUUACCACAAAACAUUAAUGAAACUAUUUAUUUUUGUAUUUUCGAAAUUAUACAAAGAUACAAUAUAAAGUACUAUUUUUAUAUUUUUAAAGAUUAAACUGAUUAUAAAACAUUAAUGAAACUAUUUUUGUAUUUUUGAAAUUAUACAAACAUAAAAAUAAGGUACUAUAUUUUUUUAUUUUUUAAAGAUUAUAUAAAAAAUAAAAUAGGCCAAAAGGAACACACAUCUUCCUAAAAAUAUCUAAUACAUGAUUAAAAUAGAGUAAUAUGAAACCAUUUUUAUAUUUUUCCAUUUUGUGAUAAAAAUAAUGUAAAUGAGUUAAAAUUAGCCGAAAUAGCUAUAUUUGGCCUAAAUUUAUUUUACGCCAAAAAUAUAAAACAUCAUGUGGACGGUCAAAAAUCACAGGUCUACAGCUGCCCCUCUUUGACUGGAAACACAACGAGUUCUCGGACAAAGAACGACUAGACAUGUGUUUUGACCCGACCCUUAUUCGGAGAGAUUAAAACUAAGAGAAAAGGAAGAGAAUGUGAUCGGGCCCUGGUACUCUGAGCUGCCUAUAUAUCCUUGGCUAUAAAGGAAUCAGGCCACGUGUAGUUCAGAAGUAAGUGAGAUGACUGAGUAUACCGAGGUGAAGAGCUGAUCGAGGUGCCAUUCCGUCAAGGUUCCGGUCUGUGGUGUUGCUAUUAAAUAAAAAAUCAAAACACGAAAAAGACUAAAUAAGCACAUCAACUACUAGUUACAAGGUUCCUAUCUAUUAGUCUUAGGAAGCUUGAUCUCGAGUAUUGAAUGGUGCUUCAUGCGGACUCUGAUCUGAAUUUUGAUGCUUGUUAGCUGCAGGUGAUGGUUCAAUCUUCUUCAGCUUUUCAAAAUUAAGACCGGAUAUGCAGUGCAUGUGAUCUCAAUUAUGUCAUGAGCAGACUACAUCUUCUCCACUUCUGCACUUUGAAUUCACUUUUUUUCUCUUUUUCUUUCUUUUUCUUUAUUGUAACUGACUUUUGUUGAUCAUCUCAGUCAGUUGACUCGCAUUCUUGCCGCGAGCUUCUGCUACUUCUAACUUGGAUUUAAUGUUGGGGAUUUUAUUUUCGUAACCCUCCGUUCUCCAGGCGGGAUCCUACAACCAAAACAAACAAAACAAACGAUUUUUCCUACCCAGUUUGCACUAGGAAAAUUUGUGAGUCGUUAGCAAAAUUCUAAACCACUUAUACUACUGAUGCAAUGAUGAGUGUAAACUAAGGACUAGACUAGGAUUUGUGUAUCCUACGAGUAAAACCAAAAAAACUAUGACUUGCAAAUGAGUAUGCAAAAAAUAAAACCUGAAAUGAACUCAACUUAGGAAGCGUGUCUCCAAUAGAUGAAUUUAAAUGGGCAAGACUAGGAAAUGUGUCUCCUAAGAAUGAAAUACUACUUUAGGAAGUGUGUCUCCUAUGACUGAACUAUUAUUUUAGGAAGUGUACCUCCUAGAGGAAUAACUUGAAAGACCUAAACUAGGAAGUGUGUUUUCUACGAAUGAACUAUUAAUUUAGGAAUUGCGUCUCCUAUGAGUAAAACUUCAAUGAACCAGACUAGAAAGUGUGUCUCAUAUGAUCGAACUUAAAUGACUCAAACUAGGAAGUGCGUAUCCUAUGAAUGAAAUAUUAAUUUAGGAAGUGCGUCUCCUAAAAUAAAACUGUCAAUUUAGGAAGUGUGUCUCCUACGGUAGACUUGGAUUGAACUAAACUAGGAAGUGCGUCUCAUAUGAAUGAACUACUACUUUAGGAAGUGUGUCUCCUAUAGGUGAAAAUAAACUUAGAAAGUGCAUCUCCUAUGGGUGAAAAUAAACUUAGGAAGUGCGUCUCCUAUGGGUAAAAUAAACUUAGGAAGUGUGUCUCCUAUGGGUAAAAAUAAACUUAGGAAGUGCGUCUCCUAGGGGUGAAACCUUAAUGAUCUUAAACUAGGGAGUGUGUCUCCUAUGAAUGAAAUCUUAAUUUAGGGAGUGCGUCUCCUAUAGGUGAAAAUAAACUUAGUAAGUGCAUCUCCUAUGGGUGAAAAUAAACUUAGGAAGUGCGUCUCCUAUGGGUGAAAAUAAACUUAGGAAGUGCGUCUCCUAUGGGUAAAACAUUAAUGAUUUUAAACUAGGAAGUGCGUCUCCUAUGCAUGAAAUCUUAAUUUAGGAAGUGUGUUUCCUAUGCAUGAAAAUAAACUUAGGAAGUGCAUCUCCUAUCGUAAAAUAAACUUAGGAAGUGCGUCUUCUAGGGGUAAAAAUAAACUUAGGAAGCGUCCCUCCUAGGGGUCAAAUAAACUUAAUAAGUGCGUCUCCUAGAGGUAAAAAUAAACUUCGGAAGCGUGUCUCUUAUGGGUGAAACUUUAAUAAUUUUAAACUAGGAAGUGCAUCUCCUGUGAAUGAAAUCUUAAUUUAGGAAGUGCGUCUUUUAUGCAUGAAAAUAAACUUAGGAAGUGCGUCUCCUGGAGGUAAAAAUAAACUUAGGAAGUGCGUUUCCUAGGGGAAAAAAUAAACUUAGGAAGUGCGUCUCCUAUGGGUGAAACAUUAAUAAUUUUAAAAUAGGAAGUGUGUCUCCUAUGAAUGAAAUCUUAAUUUAGGAAGUGCAUCUCCUAUCACAAAAAUAAACUCAAGAAGUGCGUCUCCUAGGGGUAAAAAUAAACUUAGGAAGUGUGUCUCCUAGGGGUAGAAAUAAAAUUAGGAAGUGCAUCUCCUAUGGGUGAAACUAUAAUGAUUUUAAACUAGGAAGUGCGUCUCCUAUGAAUAGAAUCUUAAUUUAGGAAGUGUGUCUCCUAUGCAUGAAAAUAAACUUAGGAAGUGCGUCUCCUAUCGUAAAAUAUUAAGGAUUUAUACUAGGAAGUGCGUCUCCUAUGAAUGAAAUCUUAAUUUAGGAAGUGCAUCUCCUAAGCAUGAAAAUAAGCUUAGGAAGUGCGUCUCCUGAAGGUAAAAUAAACAUAGGAAGUGUGUCUCCUAUAGGUGAAAAUUUAAUUAUUUUAAACUAGGAAGUGUAUCUCCUAUGAAUGAAAUCUUAAUUUAGGAAGUGUGUCUCAUCUACAUGAAAAUAAAAUCAGGAAGUGCAUCUCCUGGGGUGAAAAUAAUCUUAGAAAGUGCGUCUCCUAGGGGUAGAAAUAAACUUAGGAAGUGUGUCUCCUAAGGGUAAAAUAAACUUAGGAAGUGCGUCAUAUGCGUGAACCAUUUCCUUCUUCCUAAAGUACCUUCUUACAUCACUGCUUCCCUUAAGAACUCGUGUUGUCUUUCCUGAAAACUGUUGUGAAUAACACUGAUGGGAAUUAUUUACUUACCUGCUGCGGAUGAUACUGCUGGGGGAUUUUCAUUCCUUCAAAACUGGUGCUUCACUCUUCUGAAGGCUGCUGAGGAUGACACUGGCCUUUUACUUUUUCUGAACACAAGGUUCAUCCUUUUGUUCUGUCCGCUGGGGAACAACUUCCUUCAUUAAAACGUUUUAUGUUGGGCAUAUCAUUGGUUCAAAAACUACUUCCCUUAAGACUUGUUUUGUCCUCCUUCUUCCCCCAAAUGGAUACCUGAUUUCCAGAAAAUUUUCAAAAUGAAAAGAAAAUUUUCUACCAAAUUUGAUAAUGUUUCUUGUGUCAUGCCACUCUGCCAUCAAUGGCAUUUCCCGUCCUGCAUCAAAUCAAAGACAAUUUGUUAGUUUUAAACGUGGUGGUUGGUGUUGAUACUCCUACUGGGGAUGGCUUUUCCUUUUCUCCUCCCCUGCUCUGCGUUCCAUUAAAUUAUCAAACCUUGCUUGGGAUGAUAGUAUUUGCUGGGGAUGAUAUUCUUGCUGGUCUUAGAACGACUUGCCCUGUUUUACGCCGUUCGGUUAUCUUGAAACUUGGGCGAUAAAUUUCGACCUUAUUGUUGAUUCUUUAUUCACCAACCUCUCAACUUUGUUUUCUAUUUGACCAUGUAUCGUUUCCAUGACAGCUUAUUCCCCUUGAGGAUUUUGCAAUGUUUUUCUGAUAAACCACUUUCUUUGUUCAUUCGUUAACCUAAAAACAACCCUUUCUGUUGGGGAUAUCCCUCUUCUUUUGUGGCAUAGCUCAAAAACCGAAAUUUCCCUGACCUUUUAGUCUCAUAUGAAUUUCCCAAAUCAUGCGCAUUGCUCUCUGUGUUGUUCUUUCUUGAUUUGUCCACGAGCCUUGGCCGUGAGGUCAAUAACCUUCAAUUUCGGCGGGGAUAUCCCUCUUGACACUCGUCCAUCCUUUUGUCGGUCUUCUCUUGCUGGGAUAUCUUUCUUGACACUGGCUCGCGCUUGCUCCUUCCUGACUUAGACCAUUUGGAUGUUCUAAUCAGAUCUCUUCUUGCAUAAUUGGAAAGUUGAUGGCAGAUUUUGAAGUCAUUUCUCAAUUGUUCUAACCAAACAGACUUUACUAGGGAAUUUUCUAUGAAAGGAGAAAGAUAAAAAGGAACAGAAUAAACGACAAAGGAAAUACAUGACUCUCUAAAAAGAGAAACUAUAAAAUCAAAACCUAGCAAACGCGGAUACCGACUCUAAUGGUCAUGACAUGCACAUGUGGCCUAUCCGCCGUCGUCAAUCACCUUUCAAGAUCUUCGUUUGGUGAUUCCCCAUCUGAUUCUCACCCUUAUUCUACUUGUAGUGCCCGAAGAUUUUCACUGUCAAGUCUCUCUCAUUUUGGCUUUUCUCUCAGCUUUCAUCGCAUUCACUGAUAAGACUCUCUCAUUUAUAUUAUCUUUCAGUUGGGGAUUGGGGUGUUACCAAUAAUACUCUCUCAUGUAUCUUCUCUGCAGGGGACCGGAGUCUUUUCUGCUGGGGUUGGAGUCUUUUCGUCGGGGAUCAGAGUGCUAUGUUCUGAUAAGACUCUCCCAUUUGCUUGACUUGGCCUCUUUUGAAGACUGGUCGGAAGGUCUUUCUUUGGACUGUAAUGUGGGAUUUGGAUAGGCUAGAAAGAAAGGGUAUUAAAGGCUAAAAAAUGCAUCGAUUUUGGUUUCAAAAUUACAGCCUUCGGAACUAGAUUUAUUUACAACAAGCGCAACGCUUGCCCCAGUUUCCUACUUGAGGAUUUUCUUAAUUUUUGUUACACUAUGACCAAGCCAUGAGACGCCUACAUAUCCUCAUUGAGGAAUCAGGUCGAACGUAGUUCCCAAUUCCUUUGUUUUCUUCCGACUUUCUUUUGUGUUUGUCAUCAUUUUUUUGUUGUUGUUUCCCUUUUUCUUUUUCGUUUUCUUUUCUUUUCUUAUCUUUUUCUGUUUGUUUUUCUACUCUUUGCUACUGAUUCUGAAAGAGGGGCAUAAAAAAUGAUGCUCAAACGGCUAACGAAGGAUAAAGUGUUUGGAUAGCAGAACUAUAUGUCUUCGUCAUUUCAAUCUCCAAAACACGGCAAGUACAAACAACACAAUUAAACAAACCGCCGAAAAUAUUGGCAACAUCUUUUGAUUGCACCAGAUAACCAUAUCCACACAUGGCAUCGUUGGGCAACACUCUCAUUUACAUGCCCCAGUUUCUCAUGGUUUGGGAUUCAAAUGAUCUCAAACCAUUCUUAUCUCCUUUAAAUAUCCCGAUCAACUUCCACUGGUUUUAAGAUUAACUUUUAAAAUUAGGCUCAAACUAUGUGUGCAUGUCAUGUCACUAGAAUCGCCACUGAACAAAACAAAACAAGAGGAUAAAAAAACUAAACAAAGAAAACGAUUGGAAAUAAUAAAAGACAAGAAUUUGCAAUAAACAAACGGUGAAACUAUUGAAACAACAAAACAACCAGUUACAACCCAAAAAGAAACCUAGACAACAUUAAACAAACCACCAUGACUGAAUAAGCUAGACAAAGUGAAAGGAUAAGAGGGUUUGAUUGCAAGACAAUACCCAGAUUACAACCCUGAAUAACCCGGACAACAAAAAUGACAACAAAAUAAACCACCAAAACUCCCCUCUGACUGACCAAGAGAUGAAGUGUCUUUCUAACAAACAAGCACGGCGUCUUAGCCACUGAUUUCCACAUCAUCCACUUCAGUCAACAAGUUCUCAAGAGGAUCCGUGUGCUCCCUGCCACUCUCCUUGAUCACAAUUGCCCCUUCUUUAAUCAUUCUUUCUACUUCCUUUUUCAAAAAACGGAAUCUUCAAUGCUAUGCCUUUGGACAAUAGAGUGGUACAUGCAUCGAACAGCAGGAUCAAAUCCUUUUGCUUAUGGGUCUGCAGUAUAGCCAAUGAGCAGCUCAAUCAGGCCAGAAUGCUUUAACUUUUCAAACAAGCUUGUGUAGGUCUCCCCAAUUGGCGUGAAACUAUUUCUUUGCCUUUGAUUCCCUCCCCGGUCCUGCUUUCUUGGGUUGUUGGGUGCUCGAGAAUGAUAUGAAGGCAAGAAUGCAUUAUGCGGUGCUGGUGCUCACCACAGGGAGUGGCUUGGUGGUUGGAAAGAUGACCAGACAUUGUUCGGAGGAUAAUACUGAGGUGUAUUAUGCAGAGCUCGGGGAUAUGUUUGGGCAUGAUGGACGGAAAAUUGUGGCUCUUGUGGGUAGUAAGGUUGUGGGGGUAUGGAUUGGUAGUAGGGUGAAGGACCUCUAGAUCUGGACCAAGUACCCGCUUCGACUGUUGCGACUUCUUCCCCCCUCUUCUUACCGAGCAUACCUCCCGUGCCGCUCUGUAUGGCCUGAUUUGUUUCCUUAAUUGCCGAAUAGCUCAGGAUUUUGUUAGACUUAAGUCCCUCUUCGAUCAUUCCGCCCAUUUUCACCACCUCGUUGAAAGAUUUGCAAACUGACGUCACCAAGUGACCAAAAUAAGUUGGCUCUAGAGUUUGCAGAAAGUAAUCCACCAUUUCCCCCUCUCUCAUCGGAGUAUCAACUCUUGCUGCUUGUUCUCUCCAUCGUAACCCAAAUUCUCUAAAGCUCUCUCCCGGUUUCUUCUUAAGUUUCAGCAAUGUGAGACGGUCAGGGACUAUCUCAAGGUUGUACUGGAAGUGACCUGCGAAAGCCUGUGCUAGGUCAUCCCAGGUGUACCACCUGCUGGGAUCCUGCCUUGUAUACCAUUCCAGCGUAGACCUGCUUAAACUUUGACCAAAAUAAGCUAUGAGAAGCUCGUCUUUUCCCCCAGCCCCUCUCAUCUUGCUGUAAAAUCCUCGCAGAUGUGCUAUUGGAUCACUGUGCCCCUCGUAUAGAUCAAACUUUGGCAUCUUGAGCCCUGCCGACAAUUGAACAUCGGGGAAAGGACACAGAUCUUUGUAGGCCACGCUGACAUGGCCGCCUAGCUCAUACAUAUUCCUGAAAGAUUGCUCCAUGCUUUUCAUUUUUUGAGGCACUUCAUCCUGCUCAGAACUCUUAGCUGGCUUCUCAGUUUCCGCCGAGAUCUUAAAAUGAGGAUUACAUGUAUGUGGCUCGGGUGCUAUGAAGGUAGGUUCAUGGGGAUAGUAUUGGUUAUCGUGAGGCUGAAACAGCAGCUCACUAGAUGAUCUUUGUUGCAUAGGUGGUGGGGGUGCCACGAAAAUAGGAGCAAUGGGUGGAGGAGGGUUUUGUUUGGGUGGUGGAGCUUGGGGAUCGUAGGCAGUUUCCCCCUGAAAGUAUUGGUGAAUUCGGAAGCUUGUCGAUGGACCAGUCUGAGGGUAUUCCGGCAUCAGUACCGGUGGGAGAGUAGGAGUAGUGGGGUGGACUGGCACUUUUUGCACCCCAGACCAAGCUAAGUGCAUUUCUUUAAUCUUUUGUCUCAACCUAUCUACUUCAUCCUUCAGCAUUUGCGAUUUCCUCCGAGUUAGACAUAUUUUUUGUAUGGGACCUUUAAAUCUUUUUGGUAAUGGUAUGGUGCCAGUACGUUUUAGCAAGCUAACUGUUUGAAACUUCUAUAAAACAACAAACUUGUCAGCGUUGGAGUUUUAACACAUUUGCAAUUGCACGUUGGAAUGUAAUGUACCUAGGCAGUUUAACCAUUUCUAUCAUGUCUUUUUCUUUUCUUUUCUUUUUUUUUGCUUUUUAGUUAUGGUCGAACCGUAUGGAGAUUGCCUACAUAUCAUGACCCUGCAUGAAUCAGAUAUUGUGUAGUUCGGGCAAAUAAAAGGCAAACAACAAUGCAAGAGUUUUUGGAAUUUUUAAUUUUCAAAAUAAAACAAACUUGAUUACAAUGGUUUAAAAACUGGUCAUAAUAACAAAUUUUGAUGAAAAGACAACAUACAGACUCUAAAAUCAAACAACCUGCAUACUCUAAUUAAAAGAAUUUCAACCAACAACAAACGACCAACUCCCUUUCCUUGUUUGCGUUUUCCAACCAAAUGGCUAUUUUUGCAAACGUGGCCCCUUCCCAAUUUCACAUGAAUUUUGAGGCCGGGGAGGAUUAUUUCAUGACAUUAUACAAACUUGUCCAUUCUUCUAUGAAAACAACAUUUCGAUAACUAAAAGAUACUCUAAGGGUAUCUAGGCAAGGACGGUUUAAGACACUGCCGAAGCAGGCUCGGCUUAUUUCGACCCAGAAAUCUAAACGGCAUUCACUUUUCGACUCUUAUUUUUUUCAAAUUAAAAUAAAAGAAUGCAAACACGGCCUUUCAGUGCCUCGGGGAUGAAUAUUUUAAGGCUGUGUGGGUCAACUCGCCAAAAAUUUAAAUAGUGACCCAAAGAUGGUUAUUUAUGCAAAGUCAGUCUUCCAGCAUCCCUUUCGGGAACAUAUGGCUAUUAUGACAAAACAACAUCACCGACUUAUUUACGACUCUUUUCUUGUUUUAUUAAUAGAAAACUCGUUAUUUGAAAACAAGGCCUUUCAGCGCCUUGGGGACGAAGAUUCUAAGGAUGUGUGGGUCAAUCGACCAAAAUCUAAAAUAAAAUAACCAAAGGUGGCCGUUUAUGCGAAGUCAACCUUCCAUCAUACCUUUUGGGAAUAUUCGGCUAUAUUUGACAAAUGCGGUAUCGCCUGACUUAUUUACGACAAACAUUAAAUUUUUUGACACAUUUGUUUUUGCUAUUUUUUACAAAGGGGAAGUUGGACCCGAUAAGGGUUGUCUACGUUUCUCACAACCUCUGAGAAUCAAACCGGCGUAGUUUGCCAAUGAAAAUAAACUACCUUUAAAAACAAAACUCUUUUCUUUUAUUAUUUUUUUGUUUUUGUUUCUUUUCAAAUAAAUCAUCUAAAAACAAUUUUCUUUCUUUUUGUUUUUUUCAAAUUUUUGGCAGAGUUUCGACACUACUUGGGCAUUGAUUUUUCUAAAACUGAGUAAUUAUCUCUCUACACUGCUAUUUUUCUUAUUAUCUUUUUCAAAAAUCUUUUUUUAAAUCUCAAUUUCAAAAGUCGGCCAGCAUGCAAGUCUGAAGCAAAUAAAUGCGUAAAACAAAUAGGAUGCAGCAGGAUGGUCUUUUUUUGUUUCAGGUUGCUUGUCUUAGACGGACCCAACCCCUAUGUUGAGUCCCCUAAGUCAAAUGCAACAUGAUGCAAAUAAACGUUCCUACUAGGGAUCCGGCAUGAAGAUUUGUUAUAUUAGGUUAAAACCUGGAUUUAUUAUUCUAGACCUGGCUUACCUGAGCGGACAACUCGAGCCGAGAAUGGGAACUGUAUCCCGGUAACCAAAAGGACAGCCGGUUUUGGAACUCCACCGAAUCAUUGUUCUAUUUGGGAUAAUGACACUAAUAGAAAGAAGUCACGACCAGCGUCCAUUCCUUAAGAUAGAGAGAAGAGAUGGGUUUCAGCACAAUUUAUGCGUACAGUUCAAAUAAUAUCAAAGGGACAAAGCAAGAUCAUAUAAAAAUAUCAGAUAAUUGACAAAGCCAAACACAACAAUUAUUCUAAGCUCGAAUUUCUAACCCUGAACCGAUGGUUCUAGGUUAAAAUUAUCCCCAGCAGAGUCGCCAGAGGUGUCACACUUCCUUUUUCCGCCACCGCUAGGGCGCAAGGGUUAAGGGAGGUUUUCUAAAUAAAUGACAAUCGAAACGGGGUUUAUUAUUAAGAUUUAGAGUCGCCACUUGGGAGAUUAUGGUGUCCCAAGUCACCGAUUGAAUCCCGAAUCGAGGAAAAUAAUGACUCUAUGUUACAGUCUGCGUACCAGAAAUCCGGAUAAGAAAUUCUGUUAACCCGGGAGAAGGUGUUAGGCACUCCCAAGUUUCGUGGUUCUAGCACGGUCUCUCAACUAUUAUGUUCGGCUUAUUUAUCUGAUUUUAACAAUUAUGUACUUAGUGCAAGUCAUGAUUCUUUUAACCGUUUUUCUUAUUAUUAUUAUUUUAAUAAAGCUAAAGCUUAAAGGGAAUGAAAAAGCCAAAGCUAAAGUAAAAAGUAAAAGUUAAGCCAAAGUAAAAAUUUUGAAGCAAAAGUUAAAGUUAAAGUUAAAGUAAAAGUAAAAGUAAAAGCAAAAGUAAAAAUUAAAGUAAAAGUGAAAGUUAAAGUAAAAGUAAAAGUUAAAGCAAAAGUUAAAGUUAAAACAAAAGUUAAAAUUAUAGCAAAAGUUAAAGCAAAAAGGGUGUUAUUAUUUUAAGAGAGAAUUGCAACGUCGUGAAAACGUAUUUCUAACCACGUCACAACCAGUGUACACGUGGUCGUCGACACAUUUCGACUCCAUUGAGAUUUGGAUUUGGGUCACAUAAAUGUGCAGCCGGAUUUAGGGAGAUAACAUUAUUAAAUACGCGCCUAAGGAUUCUAACGCGUUAUUAUUUUGAGAAUGUCGUGAUAUUCGCUAAACAGCAUGUCCCGCAGUCUAAAUAUUUUUAAUAUAUACAUUUAUGAGUGCCCCGCAACUUGUGAGUUUUAUUUGGCGAAACUUGUCUCAUUUUAUUAUUUAAGAGUAUUUAAACUUAAAAAGCUACUUGUUAUCUACUAUGGCUCAUCUCCAAUAAUAUCAACGACCUACCAGAAACAAGAGUAAUCGAACUACCUUAUUCAAACAAUAUCGGCAACACAUUCCGACUGCGUUAAGACUUGGAUUUGGGCACAUCAAUGUACACCCGGGUUUAAGAAGGUAAUGUAAUUAAAAUACGCACCUAAAGAGUCUAACGCUUUAUUAUUUUGGGGAAGGCCAAUUAGCAAUACGGCACAUCCCGGAGUCUAAGUAUUUUUAAUAUAUACAUUUAUGAGGGCCCCACAAUUUUGCAUUUCUUUUUGCGAGGCUAAUCUCAUUUUUAUUAUUUAAAAGGACAACCUUAAGGCGAUUACGAUUUCUACUUUGCGAGGGCCAUAAAAAAUUCAACCAAUGACACACUUCGAUUUCUAAAGAGUUUUAUUAAUAAAAUCAAGUAUCACGGCAAUGAGCGCAUUUGACAAUGACAAUUAGUUACACUUACUAAAUAGCUUCUAUCCGCCACCCCAUACAAUUAUCACGUGCCUCCUAAUUUUGACUAACCCAAACACCAAAAAUAUCAUAGAAAAUAUUUCCUAAACUAAAAUAUGCAUACAUUUUCUCACAUAGCUAACUCACAAGAUCUGGACAAAGGGAAACAUGGAGGAAGAUGAUACUAAUUCAAAUUAAGUGAAGCUUUGACAAAUAAUUAAGUGAAGCCCUCAAUCAAUAAUAACUAUAAGUUGCAUCAUAGUUUACCUAAUACACCGGCAGUCAUACGUUUCCAGCAAAUUCGAGCCCCAAAACGUCAACACACAAUUUUAGUAGUAGGCUACUAGUUCUCCAAUAUAUACACUGUUAAACACUGGAAAUUCAAAUAACUAGAGCAAUCGUAAUACGUAAGCUAAACACACAAUUAGUCAUUGGUCUAAGAACAAAACCCGAACAAAAAUGCAACUUAAAAAAAUCUCAAUAUUUAUCAACACCUCAACUGAUGGACGAAUUGAUCCUAAAUGAAUGGAUAAGCAACGACUAAAAUGUUAAACAAUAACAAAAGAAAUGACAAAUCAUGAUUAUCUGUGUCGAGCAAAUGUACAGAGCAUAAAAAUGAUUUCAAACAAAUUAUUGCAACGAGAAAAGGAACGGACCUUAAAACAAAGUCAAUUUCGAAUCUGAAAAUACUUAUCACUGGAAACCUUAGGCAGGGGCAAACUCGAUGGACCUCAGACAACGACCUCCGGCAAACUUGAACGGCGAAUCCAACAAACAGAACCUCGUUAGCAGCCACGAACAACCAUAUUAUCGUGUUUUCAAAUUCCGUCAAGCUACUACCGAAGAUUUCUUUACCCAGGAUAUGCGCGUGUGUGUGUGGGUAUAUUGGGGUGCGUCAAUGGAUGACGAGGUGAAGCAGCAGCAGCUAGUGGGUCUGCUGAUCGGUGAACUGCGGCUGAUGCAUUUGUUUCUGUCGGAUUUCCGGUGAGCUCGUUGGUGAGCUGGUUAUCGCGAAGGAGUCAUUUGUUAAGGGAGAUGGGGUGCUGAGUUUGACGUGAAGAAAGGCGAGGUAGUUGGUGGUUAGUUUAGGAGAUGGCUGCUGCGGGUGGUUGACGACGCAGCAGUUGGUUCAGUGAAGAAGACAAAGCACGACAGGGGCUGGUCGUGGGGGAUUAUUUUUGGUUGCUGAUGGGCGGGGGUUAUGGUGAUGCUAGGGUUUUUCCAUGUUAGUUCUUUAGGGUUUUUUAGUUGGAGAAGAUGAAGUCCUCUUCAUUGUGUCUAAGGUCUAAGGUGUAAGGAUCUGUCCAAACUCUCCGGGCCUCUUACGG
rnacentral:lncRNA from 1 species